UACAGAGGUCCCAAGCGUUGUUCGGAUUCACUGGGCGUAAAGGGCGCGUAGGCGGUUGGAUAAGUCAGCUGUGAAAACCACGGGCUUAACUCGUGGCCUGCAGUUGAGACUGUCUGGCUUGAGUGUGGGAGAGGAGAGUGGAAUUCCUGGUGUAGCGGUGAAAUGCGUAGAUAUCAGGAGGAACACCGGUGGCGAAGGCGGCUCUCUGGACCACAACUGACGCUGAGGCGCGAAAGCUAGGGGAGCAAACAGG
rnacentral:rRNA from 1 species